UUGGCACAUACUGUAAAAUGAAACAGAUUUUCAGGUAAUUUUCAAAUUAAGCUAUAAAAGAUGAUCAGAUAAACAUAUAUUAAGAAAAUUUUGAUACUUGUAGGUUGCCAGGCAAGUUCACCAUUGCCAUCACCUUCACCUCAAGAUGAAGAAAGGCCUUUCACUGAAACAGACUGGCGAUCAUUUCGAGCACGCUUAGUCGCCGGCGAACGAGCUUCCCGGUCAGAAGAUCGCUCCUCCGUCGUCAAUCCCGACACCGUCGACGAUCUUCCUCCGCCUCCGGCCGUCACAAUCGGCACGAAAUGGGCCCACACCAUUCACGAACCGGAAAAAG
rnacentral:misc_RNA from 1 species